rnacentral:rRNA from 1 species
UACGUAGGGUGCGAGCGUUGUCCGGAUUUAUUGGGCGUAAAGAGCUCGUAGGCGGUUUGUCGCGUCGGCCGUGAAAUCUCCACGCUUAACGUGGAGCGUGCGGUCGAUACGGGCAGACUUGAGUUCGGUAGGGGAGACUGGAAUUCCUGGUGUAGCGGUGAAAUGCGCAGAUAUCAGGAGGAACACCGGUGGCGAAGGCGGCAUCCUGGACCGACACUGACGCUGAGGAGCGAAAGCCAGGGGAGCAAACGGG